UGUGUGACGAUCGCGUGGACAUGUUUUAUUGUGUGAAUUCUUGAACAAAACCAAGUAAAAUCUGGAAAAUCCACCACGAAGCUGCUUUCCUCUCAUUGCGCCAAUUCUCCUGGCCGCCAGUGUGGGUUUUUUGAUUGGAAAACAAUAAACCACGGAUAUCUAAGUGCUUCACACUUCUUUUGAACCUCAACGAGUGACUUCGGGAUUCCUCUGUGCAAAUAGCGUGUUGGCGGACAUAAAUUAUCACGAGGUAUAAUGCUAUCUUCAAAGAGACUCUCCGCAGAUAUACAACAAAUUUUUGGGCUGAUGGACAAAUAAAGCAUGGCAUACAAAAAGCA